rnacentral:lncRNA from 1 species
UCCGAAAGAAAGCACUCGGCCAGUAAUUCCACCAAGGUAAAAAGCACCAACCAACCAACCAUAAAGCUCACACAAGUGUGUACUACUGAUUUAAUUUAAUUUAGUACACGCACACACACAGGCAGUAGAGCUGUUAGUCGAAACCAUGAAUUACCUACCCUACUGUCAGUGUCAGCCUGGUUACCUUGGUGACAAUAUUAACAAUGCCGUCCUUUGUGUUGCAGCAGAAACGCAAGUCGUCGAGCCUCAAGGACACGAGCCCGGUCGGCCUGGCCAUCGAUUUCAACAGUGCGGACGCGUCGAGGCAGCCCCUGUUGCCCUUGCAGCCAAACUCUCCGGACUGCAGGGUCCAUAAGAAGUGAAGCUGGCCGUCCCGGCAUUCUCCUCUGGAUGGCUUGAACUGAAGUGAACUGAACAACUACCCCUUAGCUAGGCACUGUCGCUUGCUGCUUGCCUGAUCGAUCUGACUAACUUGCUGGGUUAAUUUGGUUGGUUCUUGUCGGUAGAACCUCCUCGGUCAUAUGUAGCCUGUGUUUUCCGCUUUCUUCUUCCGCUUGUCUUGGCAGCUGCCUGUGUCUAUCAUAUCAUGAUCCUUUCAUGACAAAAUUAGUAGUAUUAUCUUAGUAGUUUUGUGUCUGGUGAUGAGCGUGUAAGGCGCUGAUUCGACGCUUAUUGUGGCCAGUUCGUCG